UAGGGAAUCUUCGGCAAUGGACGAAAGUCUGACCGAGCAACGCCGCGUGAGUGAAGAAGGUUUUCGGAUCGUAAAACUCUGUUGUUAGAGAAGAACAAGGACGUUAGUAACUGAACGUCCCCUGACGGUAUCUAACCAGAAAGCCACGGCUAACUACGUGCCAGCAGCCGCGGUAAUACGUAGGUGGCAAGCGUUGUCCGGAUUUAUUGGGCGUAAAGCGAGCGCAGGCGGUUUCUUAAGUCUGAUGUGAAAGCCCCCGGCUCAACCGGGGAGGGUCAUUGGAAACUGGGAGACUUGAGUGCAGAAGAGGGGAGUGGAAUUCCAUGUGUAGCGGUGAAAUGCGUAGAUAUAUGGAGGAACACCAGUGGCGAAGGCGGCUCUCUGGGCUGUAACUGACGCUGAGGCUCGAAAGCGUGGGGAGCAAACAGG
rnacentral:rRNA from 1 species